rnacentral:rRNA from 1 species
UACGUAGGGUGCAAGCGUUAAUCGGAAUUACUGGGCGUAAAGCGUACGCAGGCGGCUUUGCAAGUCGGGUGUGAAAUCCCCAGGCUUAACCUGGGAACUGCAUUCGAGACUGCAUUGCUAGAGUAUGGGAGAGGGAAGUGGAAUUUCAGGUGUAGCGGUGAAAUGCGUAGAUAUCUGAAGGAACAUCAGUGGCGAAAGCGACUUCCUGGACCAAUACUGACGCUCAUGUGCGAAAGCGUGGGGAGCAAACAGG